UUUUUUUUUUUUUGUCGUUUGCUGUUUGAGAACCCAGUGAGUGGAUAAAUUGAUUUAUGUUUAUGGUUUCAGCCAGUUUAGUUUCAAUCUAUGUUGCACGGAAACUUUCUUUGGCUGCCGUUUUUGCAUUUCAGAAAGGUUUCCUGCAUGGAAAUGCUCGGAAACUCCUUGGAAAUGUUUCGAGACUGUUUUCGUAAACCGAAUAAUUUAGAAAUAGGUUUCCCCUCUCUUAAAUACGUUUAUGUAAAUUGAAAACUCUCAACAACUCAUUUCUCUAAUUAAAAUAAAUACAUAAAUAAAUAGAAAUGCACAAAUAUGUAUUUUUUUAUAACUAUGGAACUUGUAUUUCUUUUGGAUAUGAUUAAAUAUUGAUUGGACUUGACUUGUUGUUGAAUAUAUUUAAUGAUUUAUAAUAAUCUAUUUUUUUAUAUUGUAAAUAUAAUCCUAUUUUUUUCAUAUUUACGCGUUUUCCCCAUGUUUUCGUUUGCUGUGUUUUUAAAAAUACCGUUUCCUUGUGUUCAUUUCCGUGCAAUAUAGGUUUCAAUUGUUGGGGUGCACUGUUUAAUGAAAUUUUGAACUGCUUGAACAUUAGAUUUGUUUUAAAUGUGAUACUACUUAAGAUUCUGUUUUGCUCAUGAUGUUAUAAACAUUAUAUUAUUGCAAGUUCUUUUACUUGUAUGGUUAGCCUUGAGAUAUUAAAUUUAGCAAUUACUUGGAAAAGAAAAAAUCUCACACUUGAUUUGAUUAUUGAUGAGUUUGCGACUCUGUAGCAAUAAAGGAAGUGAGAUUGAAUGUUUUGGAACUGGAUCAUCUCUGCUUCAAAGAAGCAAAAAUAUGGGAGACACUUGACAGCUGGUUCAGUGAAUUCACAAAGGGCACAAAGGAGCUGCAAAGUUGCAUGGUUUCAUCUCUGUUACUUGUUUUUAUCCUAAGUUUUGGACAUCCUUGAGCUUGUGCUGAUGUGUGAUGUGUUGGGACCUAUGAAUGAGACUUUUAUAGUGGGAAAGCUGAUAUGUUUGGUGGAACUUCUUGUGGCUUGCUACAUUCUGUUCAGUUCACCCAAAAACAAAGUAAGCAAAUUGGAGAAAAGAUGCUAAGCCACAAAUACUGAGACUUGGAGAUGUGGAAAAAGGUUUCUCUUGUUAUUUAUUUAUUUAUUUGGUGGUAUUUUGAACUAGAUUAUUGUGACAUGUGAUGUUACUCUUUCGGUUGAAGUAGGUUGUAAUUAAUAAAACGUGCCGAAUUUCAUUUAAGAAUGAUAGUUUCUGCAUUUUAAUGC